UACGUAGGCAGCGAGCGUUGUUCGGAGUUACUGGGCGUAAAGCGUGCGUAGGCGGUCUUGUAAGUUUUGGUGUGAAAUCUCCCGGCUCAACUGGGAGGGUGCGCCGAAAAACCGCAAGGCUGGAGUAUGGGAGAGGUAGGCGGAAUUCCUGGUGUAGCGGUGAAAUGCGUAGAUAUCAGGAGGAACACCAGUGGUGUAGACGGCUUACUGGACCAUGACUGACGCUGAGGCACGAAAGCGUGGGGAGCAAACAGG
rnacentral:rRNA from 1 species